rnacentral:rRNA from 1 species
AGUGAACGCUGGCGGUAGGCCUAACACAUGCAAGUCGAACGGCAGCACAGUAAGAGCUUGCUCUUACGGGUGGCGAGUGGCGGACGGGUGAGGAGUACAUCGGAAUCUACUUUUUCGUGGGGGAUAACGUAGGGAAACUUACGCUAAUACCGCAUACGACCUACGGGUGAAAGCAGGGGAUCUUCGGACCUUGCGCGAUUGAAUGAGCCGAUGUCGGAUUAGCUAGUUGGCGGGGUAAAGGCCCACCAAGGCGACGAUCCGUAGCUGGUCUGAGAGGAUGAUCAGCCACACUGGAACUGAGACACGGCCCAGACUCCUACGGGAGGCAGCAGUGGGGAAUAUUGGACAAUGGGCGCAAGCCUGAUCCAGCCAUACCGCGUGGGUGAAGAAGGCCUUCGGGUUGUAAAGCCCUUUUGUUGGGAAAGAAAAGCAGCAGGUUAAUACCCCGCUGUUCUGACGGUACCCAAAGAAUAAGCACCGGCUAACUUCGUG